AUACCCGCUGAACUUAAGCAUAUCAAUAAGCGGAGGAAAAGAAACCAACAGGGAUUGCCUCAGUAACGGCGAGUGAAGCGGCAAUAGCUCAAAUUUGAAAUCUGCUCUUUGAGCCGAAUUGUAAUUUGUAGAGGAUGCUUCGGCUUACGUUUCGGUCUAAGUUCCUUGGAACAGGACGUCAUAGAGGGUGAGAAUCCCGUCUGUGGCCGAGACUUCCGCCAUGUGAAGCUCCUUCGACGAGUCGAGUUGUUUGGGAAUGCAGCUCUAAAUGGGAGGUAUAUUUCUUCUAAAGCUAAAUACCGGCCAGAGACCGAUAGCGCACAAGUAGAGUGAUCGAAAGAUGAAAAGCACUUUGGAAAGAGAGUUAAAAAGUACGUGAAAUUGUUGAAAGGGAAGCGUUUGCGACCAGACUUGCCUGCGGAUGCUCAAUCGGUCCUUCGGCCGAUGCACUCUUCCGCAGUCAGGCCAGCAUCAGUUCGAGUAGCCAGAUAAAGGCAUUGGGAAUGUGGCUCUCUUCGGGGAGUGUUAUAGCCCUUUGUGCAAUAUGGUUCAUUUGGACUGAGGCCCGCGCUUCGGCUAGGAUGCUGGCGUAAUGGUCGUAAGCGGCCCGUCUUG
rnacentral:rRNA from 1 species